rnacentral:rRNA from 1 species
CCUACGGGUGGCAGCAGUGAGGAAUAUUGGUCAAUGGGCGCGAGCCUGAACCAGCCAAGUCGCGUGAAGGACGAAUGUCCCACGGAUUGUAAACUUCUUUUAUCAAGGAAUAAAGUGAGGCACGUGUGCCUUUUUGUGUGUACUUUAUGAAUAAGCAUCGGCUAACUCCGUGCCAGCAGCCGCGGUAAUACGGAGGAUCCGAGCGUUAUCCGGAUUGAUUGGGUUUAAAGGGAGCGUAGAGGGGUUGUUAAGUGAGUUGUGAAAGUGUGCGGUUAAACCGUAAAACUGGAAUGGAUACUGGCAAUCUUGAGAACAGUUGAGGUAGGCGGAAUUCGUGGUGUAGGGGUGAAAUGCUUAGAUAUCACGAAGAACUCCGAUUGCGAAGGCAGGUUACU